rnacentral:lncRNA from 1 species
CUACGGCUUCCACUAGAUGUCAACGAUCUUUAUAAAGUUGUUUGAAGCGUCUAUGAUAAACAGAGAGCAAAUUAGAAUCCAAGGAAGUUGACAUGUCAUCACUUCAUUUUUUUGCGCCUGCGCAUAAAUCUGAGAGACGUCAGUUUGUCAUCAUUUUUAUCUAGACAUAGGAUAGGUUGUGUGAAAAUAUUACUGAUGUUUAACGUUAAAAAUGGACCAAAAGAUUAAUGCUAAACAACAUUUGACAUGUUUGAACGAACAUAAAUAGAUUAUUUACUAGUUUCUUUUAGCUUUUCGGCGUGAUUUUACCAGCCCCACACCACGUUUUGUGGGAGCAUAAUGAACGCUAAGUACUUGGUGUUAUUUGGACAUAAAUUAUGAACUUUGUCAAAAGAAACCACAUUUGUUCCGGACCUGGAAUGCCUUCCGGACCUGGGAUCCUGCCUUCUGAUGGAGAUAAUCAAAGGUUAAUGAAGUAGAAGUCCUGGGAGUGCAUUCUGACGAAGAACACCAAAGGGGCUGAAUCACUGGCUUACUGGUGCUCUUCCAUGCCGUCCAAAGGAGGGGUGAGUCACUUGAGUGGGUUGAGUCACUGAUGUGAUCUUCCUGUCCAGGUUGGCACCCCCCCCUUGGGUUGUGCCGUGGCGAAGAUCUUCGUGGGCUGUACUCGGCCUUGUCUCAGGAUGAGGACCUGAGCCCUAGGACCAUGCCUCAGGACUACCUGGCCUGAUGACUCCUUGCUGUCCCCAGUCCACCUGGCCGUGCUGCUGCUCAAGUUUCAACUGUUCUGCCUGCGGCUAUGGAACCCUGACCUGUUCACCGGACGUGCUACCUGUCCCAGACCUGCUGUUUUCAACUCUCUAGAGACAGCAGGAGCGGUAGAGAUACUCUGAAUGAUCGGCUAUGAAAAGCCAACUGACAUUUACUCCUGAGGUGCUGACCUGUUGCACCCUCGACAACCAAUGUGAUUAUUAUUAUUUGACCCUGCUGGUCAUCUAUGAACAUUUGAACAUCUUGGCCAUGUUCUGUUAUAAUCUCCACGGCACAGCCAGAAGAGGACUGGCCACCCCUCAUAGCCUGUUUCCUCUCUAGGUUUCUUCCCAGGUUCUGGCCUUUCUAGGGAGUUUUUCCUAGCCACCAUGCUUCUACACCUGCAUUGCUUGCUCUUUGGGGUUUUAGGCUGGGUUUCUGUACAGCACUUUGUGACAUCAGCUCAUGUAAGAAGGGCUUUAUAAAUACAUUUGAUUGAUUGAUUACCAUGUAUGUCAUUACCCUGGAUAGCUCCAAGUAGUGUCAUUACCCUGGAUAGCUCCAAUACGUUUCAGUACCCUGGAUAGCUCCAGUACGUUUCAGUACCAUGGAUAGCUCCAAUACGUUUCAGUACCCUGGAUAGCUCCAAGUAGAGUCAUUACCCUGGACAGCUCCAAGUAGUGUCAAUACCCUGGAUAGCUCCAAGUAUCGUCAUUACCCUGGAUAGCUCCAAGUAUUGUCAUUACCCUGGAUAGCUCCAAGUAUUGUCAUUACCCUGGAUAGCUCCAAUAAGUUUCAUUACCCUGGACAGCUCCAAGUAGUGACAUUACCCUGGAUAGCUCCAAGUAGUGACAUUACCCUGGAUAGAUCCAAGAAGUUUCAUUUCCCUGGACAGCUCCCUAAGUAGUGUCAGUACACAAAUCAAAUCUAAUCAAAUGUUCUUUGUCACAUGCACCAAAUACAACAGGUGUAGACCUUACAGUGGAAUGCUUACUUAUGAACCCUUAAUCAACAAUGCAGUUUUAAGAAAAAUACCUACAAAAAUAAGAAAUAAAAGUAACAAAAAAAUUAAAGAGCAGCAGUAAAAUAACAAUAGCGAGGCUAUAUACAGGGGGUACCAUUACAGAAUCAAUGUGUGGGGGCACCGGUUAGUUGAGAUAAUUGAGGUAAUAUAAACAUGUAGUAGAAUUUUUAAAGUGACUAUGCAUAGAUACUAAACAAAAUGGCAGCAGCGAAAAAGAGGGUGGGGGUGGGGGAGCAAUGCAAAUAGUCUGGGUAGCCAUUUGAUUAGAUGUUCAGGAGUCUUAUGGCUUUGGGGUAGAAGAUGUUUAGAAGCCUCUUGGACCUAGACUUGGCGCUCUGGUACCACCUGCCAUGCGGUAGCAGACAGGACAGUCAAUGACUAGGGUGGCUGGAGUCUUUGACAGUUUUUAGGGUUUUCUUUGACACCACCUGGAAUAGAGUUCCUGGAUGGCAGGAAGCUUGGCCCCAGUGAUGUACUGGGCCAUACGCACUACCCUCUGUAGUGCCUUGCGGUUGUAAGCCGAGCAGUUGCCAUACUAGGCAGUGAUGCAAGCAGUCAGGAUGCUCUCGAUGGUGCAGCUGUAGGACCUUUGAGGAUCUGAGGACCCAUGCCAAAUCUUUUCAGUCUCCUGAGGGGGAAUAGGUUUUGUCAUGCCCUCUUCAUGACUGUCUUGGUGUGCAUGGACCAGGUUAGUUUGUUGGUGAUGUAGGCACCAAGGUUCUUGAAGCUCUCAACCUGCUCCGCUACAGUCCCGUCAAUGAGAAUGGGGGCGUUCUCGGUCCUCCUUUUCCUGUAGUCCACAAUCAUCUCCUUUGUCUUGAUCACAUUGAGGGAGAGGUUGUUAUACUGGCACCACACAGCCAGGUCUCUAACCUCCUUCCUAUAGGCUGUCUCAUCGUUGUCGGUGAUCAGGCCUCCCACUGUUUCCUCCGGAAACUUAAUGAUGGUGUUGGAGUCCUUCCUGGCCAUGCAGUCAUGAGUGAACAGGGAGUACAGGAGUGGCUGAGCACGCACCACUGAGGGGCCCCCGUGUUGAGGAUCAGCAUGGCGGAUAUGUUGUUACCUACCCUUACCACCUGGGGGCGUCCCGUCAGGAAGUCCAGGAUCCAGUUGCAGAGGGAUGUGUUUAGUCCCAUUGUCCUUAGCUUAGUGAUGAGUUUUGAGGGCACUAUGGUUUUGAACUAGUCAAUGAAUAGAAUUCUCACAUAAGUGUUACUUUUGUCCAGGUGUGGAGGGUAGUGUGGAGUGCAAUAGAGAUUGCAUCAUCUGUGGAUCUGUUUGGGUGAUAUGCAAAUUGGAGUGGGUCUAGGGUUUCCGGGAUAAUGGUGUUGAUGUGAGCCAUGACCAGCCUUGCAAAGCACUUCAUGGCUACAGACAUGAGUGCUACGGAUUGGUAGUCAUUUAGGCAGGUUACCUUCGUGUUCUUGGGCACAGGGACUAUGGUAGUCUGCUUGAAACAUGUUGGUAUUACAGACUCAGACAUGGAGAGGAUGAACAUUUCAGUGAAGAUACUUGCCAGUUGGUCAGUGCAUUCCCGGAGUACAUGUCCUCGUAAUCCGUCUGGCCCUGCGGCCUUGUGAAUGUUGACCUGUUUAAAGAUCUUACUCACAUCGGCUAUGGAGAGCGUGAUCACACAUUCAUACGGAACAGCUGAUGCUCUCACGAAUGUUUCAGUGCUAAUUGCCUUGAUGCGAGCAUGGAAGAAAUUUGGCUUGUCUUUUCGGCUUGUGUCACUGAGCAACUGUAUUGACUCAUUGCCUGUUUGAUGGUUCGUCGGAGGGCAUAGUGGGAUUUGUUUU